rnacentral:misc_RNA from 1 species
AUUAUUGCAUAUAUUUCUCUGGUGUAUUUUGGUGUCGUGGUUUAAAAACAAAUACUUUAUAGUGAGUGCGUGUAAAAAGUAUUUUGAUCGUAUGUGCUUGCAUUUAGUGGAAUUAGUAUGACCCCGUAACAGUAAAUGUGCGUUAACAUCAUUGUUACAUGACUAACUGGAAUGUAUGAGCAACAGCAUGCUGACAAUUCAUCAGACGAAGAAACUUUCGAGGAGGACGCGUCGCUUUCUAAUCCUCUGCUUAAAACGGAAGAAGCGAGUUUUUGCAUGAGAUGUUCAGAAGGCAGGAGUAGUAGACACUUGUGUGUGAGCGUCAAUAACGUAUGUGCUUCGAGCGCGGAAGACACGAAUGACAAAAAUCUUUUUUCUAAUGGCGACAGCAACAUCACAACAUUCACACCUUGUGAGACAACACACUGUCAUCAUGUUUCAUCGCAACCUUAUACUUCAUCAGAAUGCAGAAAACUGUUGUUGGCUACUGGCAUGUGCGUUGUCUUCAUGGUUGCAGAAAUAAUAGGUGGCUAUGCAGCUGGGAGCUUAGCUGUCAUGACAGAUGCAGUGCAUCUUAUGUCUGAUGUUGUUGCAUUCCUUGUGAGUUUAUUUGCUAUCUGGUUGAGCAGACAUUCUCCUACAAGGAAAUUUACUUUUGGAUUCUUCAGGGCAGAAAUUUUAUGUGCCCUUGCAAGCAUACUGCUCAUAUGGUUAAUAACUGCAGUUUUUGUGUACUUGGCAGUACAUCGAAUGUUAAGUGGGAAAUAUGCAAUAAAAACACAAACAAUGAUGCUGGUAGCAGGAUUAGGAAUUGUGGUAAAUGCAAUCAUGGGAUUGGUGCUGCAUGGAUCCUGUAACAGUCUCAGAGGUGCACACGGGCACACCCACAGUGAAUUCAGCCAUAGCAGAUCUGGCAUAAACGUCAGGGCAGCAGUGAUACAUGUAAUUGGAGACUUGCUCCAGAGCAUAGGUGUUUUUGUAUCAGCAGUUGUAAUACAUUUUUAUACCACUUUGUGAUAUAAACUGGAAGCUGCCACUUACCACAGAGUCCAGGCAGGGUGACAUGACUAGCUGACAUGAAAAAAUAAAAGCUUGUUUAUGAACCAGCAAGAACUAUGCAUCCACGAUCUGUGUGCCUGGGGCGAAGAUAGCUGAUCCCUUAUGUACAUUUGUGUUUUCCAUUCUGGUAUUGACAACAACUGUGUCAGUAUUCAUGGAAACAGUGCGUAUUCUCUUGGAGGGUUUUCCAAAGCAUCUAAAUUAUGAAACAAUU